CUGGGAGCACUGUGGUAGUAAUGAGGGUUCGAUUAUGGCUCAGAUUGAACGCUGGCGGAUGCUUCAUACACAUGCAAGUCGAACGGCAGCACGGACUUCGGGUCUGUAAGGAGUGGCGAACGGGUGAGUAAUGUAUCGGAACGUGCCUAGUAGCGGGGAUAACUACGCGAAAGCGUAGCUAAUACCGCAUAUUGCCCUUCGGGGGAAAGCGGGGACCUUCGGGCCUCGCACUACAGAGCGGCCGGAUAUCGGAUUAGCUAGUUGGUGGGGUACCGGCUCACUGAGGUGACGAUCCGCAGCUGGCUGAGAGAGACGACCAGCCACACUGGGAUCAGACACGGCCCAUUCCUACGGGAAAGGCAGUGGUAGAAAUUGAUAUUAAUGCCGGGGAAACUUGAUCCAGCCAUCCUGGCGGUGCAUGAAGCGUUCUCGGGUUGUAAAGCACUUUUUGGCAGGAAAGAAACGGCACGGGAUAAUACCCCGUGCAACUGACGCAGGCCUGCAGAAUAAGCAAUCAUUGGUUCAUGCCAGCAGCCGCGGUGUUACGUAGGGGUGCAAGCGUUAAUCGGAAUUACUGGGCGUAAAGCGUGCGCAGGCGGUUCGGAAAGAAAGAUGUGAAAUCCCAGAGCUUAACUUUGAACUGCAUUUUAACUACUAGCUGGGGAGUGUGUCAGAGGAGGUGGAAUUCGCGCAGCAAAGGAACGCAGAUAUGCGGAGGAACACCGAUGGCGAAGGCAGCCUCCUGGGAUAACACUGACGCUCAUGCACGAAAGCGUGGGGCAACAGGAUUAGAUACCCUGGUAGUCCACGCCCUAAACGAUGUCAACUAGCUGUUGGGGCCGGUCUGGCAGCGCAGCUAACGUGAAGUUGACCGCCCGGGGAGUACGGUCGCAAGAUUAAAACUCAAAGGAAUUGACGGGGACCCGCACAAGCGGUGGAUGAUGUAUUUGACCUGAUGCAACGAAAACCUUACCUUUACCCUUGACAUGUCUGGAACCCAAGAGAUUUGAGUGUUUGCAAGAGAACCGGAACACAGGUGCUGCAUGGCUGUCGUCAGCUCGUCGUGAGAUGUUGGGUUAAGUCCCACGAGUGAACCUGAAGCACAGCUGCUACGAAAGGGCACUCUAAUGAGAUCAUCGGUACAAACCGGAGGAAGGCAGGGGAUGACGUCAAGUCCUCAAGCGGCCUGCAGGUAGGGCUUCACACGUCAUACAACGGUCGACAGGCUGCUAACCCGCGAGGGGGAGCCAAUCCCAGAAACCCGACCGUAGUCCGGAUCGCAGUCUGCAACCGACUGCGUGAAGUCGGAAUCGCUAGUAAUCGCGGAUCAGCAUGUCGCGGUGAAUACGUUCCCGGGUCUUGUACACACCGCCCGUCACACCAUGCGAAGCGGUUUUAUCAGAAGUAGUUGGCCUAACCGUAAGGAGGGCGAUUACUACGGUAGGAUUCAUGACUGGGGUAGCGUCGUAACAAGGUAG
rnacentral:rRNA from 1 species